rnacentral:rRNA from 1 species
UAGGUCCCGAGCGUUGUCCGGAUUUAUUGGGCGUAAAGGGAGCGCNGGCGGUCAGGAAAGUCUGGAGUAAANGGCUAUGGCUCAACCAUAGUGUGCUCUGGAAACUGUNUGACUUGGGUGCAGAAGGGGAGAGUGGAAUUCCAUGUGUAGCGGUGAAAUGCGUAGAUAUAUGGAGGAACACCAGUGGCGAAAGCGGCUCUCUGNUCUGUCACUGACGCUGAGGCUCGAAAGCGUGGGUAGCGAACAGGAUUAGAUACCCUGGUAGUCCACGCCGUAAACGAUGAGUGCUAGGUGUUAGGCCCUUUCCGGGGCUUAGUGCCGGAGCUAACGCAAUAAGCACUCCGCCUGGGGAGUACGACCGCAAGGUUGAAACUCAAAGGAAUUGACGGGGGCCCGCACAAGCGGUGGAGCAUGUGGUUUAAUUCGAAGCAACGCGAAGAACCUUACCAGGUCUUGACAUCCCGAUGCUAUUCUUAGAGAUAGGAAGUUACUUCGGUACAUCGGAGACAGGUGGUGCAUGGUUGUCGUCAGCUCGUGUCGUGAGAUGUUGGGUUAAGUCCCGCAACGAGCGCAACCCUUAUUGUUAGUUGCCAUCAUUAAGUUGGGCACUCUAGCGAGACUGCCGGUAAUAAACCGGAGGAAGGUGGGGAUGACGUCAAAUCAUCAUGCCCCUUAUGACCUGGGCUACACACGUGCUACAAUGGUCGGUACAACGAGUUGCGAGCCGGUGACGGCAAGCUAAUCUCUGAAAGCCGAUCUCAGUUCGGAUUGGAGGCUGCAACUCGCCUCCAUGAAGUCGGAAUCGCUAGUAAUCGCGGAUCAGCACGCCGCGGUGAAUACGUUCCCGGGCCUUGUACACACCGCCCGUCACACCACGAGAGUUUGUAACACCCGAAGUCNGUGAGGUA